CUUUUACACCUGCCUCACCAGCCUUCACUGUGUGUUUUUAGCCCUUGUGUGCAGAAAACUGUCACACAGAUCUGUCUUCCCAUUGUCUGCAUCCGAUGUGUCAUGGAUUGUGAUAUUCAAAGCCUGGAUAAGGCAGAUGAGGUAUGAAGCUUGAUUACUGGAAGAUCAAGACCUAUCAGAAGGCAUAAGGUUAUCAUCCCCUGUAUUGUGAGCCCUAUUGAAGUAAACGAUCUGCCAGCAAGAAACAUCUCAUAGGAUCGGAUCAGACACUGCACAAAUAAGAGGGAGAUGAAGGAGAGAGCAAAGGAUGUUAUGAAAACCAAAGAAAUU